rnacentral:tRNA from 1 species
GGGGAUAUAGCUCAGUGGUAGAGUGCGUGCCUAGCACCCACAGGGUCCUGGGUUCGAUCCCAGUACCUCCA